AGGAAACCGUACGGGGAGAUGACGUGGGAGACAGUGGGGCAUGAAACUACCGAGGCCUAAAGCCGCAGGCGAAUCAGAAGAGAAACGGGCUGCAGCGCUGCUGGCUGCGGCUAGGGGCCACUGGACAGGGCAGAGCCCCACUCACAUGCAGAAGACACUGCCAGAGGGAUUCCUGGCAGCUGCAGUUCCCAGCAGGCACUGAAUGAAGGGGGCGGUGGCAGCACGCAGAUCGGCUGUUGCUAUUCUCAUUUUACACAUAAGGAACCUGAAGCACAAAGUUCUGCAAGGUCAUUCAAAGCUUCUCAGAUGUGUGCUCUAACACUAGACCCUACUGCCUUCCAUGACACGGAGUGGUAUAAUGGAUUGAUCAGCACUCACUGGGGAUAUAUGUAUUUAGAGUGUUCGCGUAUAUUUAAUUGCUCUUCCAGGUACAGUAUAUGAUAUGAAAUUAGCAUGGUGUUUUUCCUUCCUUAUAUGUGUAAUGACAUGAGUUAUGCCAGCAGAGUUCUAAGAAUGUUUAUUAGUAGUGGUUGCU